rnacentral:rRNA from 1 species
CGGACGGUGAGUAACACGUAGAGAACCUACCUUACACAGGGGACAACGGCUGGAAACGGCUUGGCUAAUACCGCAUAAGCACCCAGUUUCGCAUGAAACAGAGUGAAAAGAGUAAAUCGGUGUAAGAUGGCUCUGCGUCUGAUUAGCUAGUUGGUGGGGUAAAGGCUCACCAAGGCGACGAUCAGUAGCCGGCCUGAGAGGGCGACCGGCCACAUUGGGACUGAGACACGGCCCAGACUCCUACGGGAGGCAGCAG